rnacentral:lncRNA from 1 species
GGGGUAUUGUGAUGUCAUUACGGGGGUAUUGUGAUGUCAUUACGGGGGUAUUGUGAUGUCAUUACGGGGGUAUUGUGAUGUCAUUACGGGGGUAUUGUGACGUCAUUAUGGGGGUAUUGCUUCGUCAUUACGGGGGUAUUGUGAUGUCAUUACGGGGGUAUUGUGAUGUCAUUACGGGGGUAUUGUGAUGUCAUUACGGGGGUAUUGUGACGUCAUUAUGGGGGUAUUGCUUCGUCAUUACGGGGGUAUUGUGAUGUCAUUACGGGGGUAUUGUGAUGUCAUUACGGGGGUAUUGUGAUGUCAUUACGGGGGUAUUGUGACGUCAUUACGGGGGUAUUGUGACGUCAUUACGGGGGUAUUGUGAUGUCAUUACGGGGGUAUUGUGACGUCAUUACGGGGUAUUGUGACGUCAUUAGGGGGUAUUGUGAUGUCAUUACGGGGGUAUUGUGAUGUCAUUACGGGGUAUUGUGAUGUCAUUACGGGGGUAUUGUGAUGUCAUUACGGGGUAUUGUGAUGUCAUUACGGGGGUAUUGUGACGUCAUUACGGGGGUAUUGUGAUGUCAUUACGGGGUAUUGUGACGUCAUUACGGGGGUAUUGUGAUGUCAUUACGGGGUAUUGUGACGUCAUUACGGGGUAUUGUGACGUCAUUAUGGGGGUAUUGUGAUGUCAUUACGGGGUAUUGUGACGUCAUUACGGGGUAUUGUGACGUCAUUAUGGGGGUAUUGUGUGUAGAUUGAUGAGGGGGGAAAAAAACAGAUAUCUCUAGCGUUACAGACAGAUUUUGCCAGGGAUUUUUUUAUUAUUAUGUUAAUUCUAUUUCAGCGGGGCUGCGGAAAUUGUUGGCUAAGGGUUAAGGGUUCAGUGAAAUCUCCACCCACCGGGACAUGCAAAACAAACUCCCGCUCUCACAUAUCCUCACCCCACUCUUCCAUAUGCAGCCUAACAUUGAAGCAUUGUAAUGAACAAGAUGGGAGACAGAGAGCUGGUUUCAAGAGCAGGGUGCAGAAGGUGUUUAUAGGUAAAGGACCACAGGAGGAGACAGGAAGCUGGGUCCAGGGGCAGGAAGCUGGGUCCAGGGGCAGGAAGCUGGGUCCAGGGGCAGGUAGCUGGGUCCAGGGGCAGGAAGCUGGGUCCAGGGGCAGGCAGAAGGUCAUACACAGGAGGAGGCAGGUAGCUGGGUCCAGGGGCAGGCAGAAGGUCAUACACAGGAGGAGGCAGGUAGCUGGGUCCAGGGGCAGGCAGGUCAUACACAGCAGGAGGUAGGUAGCUGGGUCCAGGGGCAGGCAGAAGGUCAUACACAGGAGGAGGCAGGUAGCUGGGUCCAGGGGCAGGUAGCUGGGUCCAGGGGCAGGCAGAAGGUCAUACACAGGAGGAGGCAGGUAGCUGGGUCCAGGGGCAGGCAGAAGGUCAUACACAGGAGGAGGCAGGUAGCUGGGUCCAGGGGCAGGCAGGUCAUACACAGCAGGAGGCAGGUAGCUGGGUCCAGGGGCAGGCAGAAGGUCAUACACAGGGGGUCCAAAAAGGUAACAUUACAGGCAGGGAAAAGGAUACUAACGUUGUCCGGGUGAUCAGGCAACAGGUUGAUAACAGGAAAUCCGAUAGGCUGAAGUACAGGCAGGGAAAAGGCAAAAAGGCGUCGUUAGGAUGAUUACAUCACGGGAAACACAGCGCUCCGAAUAGAAGUGUGUCACAAAACAAACAAUACCUCACAGUGACGGUGUGCAAAGAACUGAACUAAAUAGUGUGUGAUAAUGACAUACAGGUGUGUGAACAGGUGAUCAGAAUACAGGUGUCGGGGAUCUGGAGAGUGAGCUGCGUUCAGGGGGAUCUACGUUUUUUUGAGAGUUUGAGUUGGGAAGCAGACGUUACAAGCUUCUCUUCGAGAAGCCCAUUCUUUUUCAUGUUCUUCCUGUGCCAUCCAAAUUUGUGCAUAGCCUAGUCAGUGGUCAGUUAUAUCAGGCUAGGUAACAUGACUUGCUAACUAAACAAUGUCGUUUGUUAUCAACCCCCCCCCCCAAAAAUGGAUUGUUCGUGAGUAGUUGAAAGCGUCCCCGCGACUGGCGCACAAAUCCACGGCAGGAAGAAAGAACAUCGCUCCGGUAAUAUUGGCCAUAACUUUGACAUGAUUUGUGCUAGAGACACACGGUCUUCAGCGAUGUAAAGGAGUUCAAUGUAAAGGCACAAACAUUGACUGUAGCGGUGUUGUGUUCUGCCUUUAAAAGGGUCCUUGCGGAAACGUGUGCUUUAAAAGGUUCCUAGCGGAAACGUUUGCUUGAAAAGGUUCCUUGCAGGAAACGUGUGCUUUAAAAAGGUUCCUAGAGGAAAAUAAAUUGAUUAAUGGUGUUCCCCCCCAAAAAAUGUAACCUGAUAAUAAAUGUCAUGCAUUAACACAAUAUAAACAUGUUAACUUUGACAACCCGAAUAUGUAUAAUUAUAUACAGCAUAUAUAUAAAAAAAAUUGUUUUCCCCCUCUGAUGAGAGCUGUACAUAU